rnacentral:lncRNA from 1 species
AUGCGGGGAGGGCGGCGUUGCCGAGUGCGGGUGGGUGUGUGGGGGGUCCCUGGUGCAAAACCUCGCUCCACUGCCGUCAAAAGGGAACUCAAGGGAGAACUGCUCACUUCAUCUUGGACGCGUUUUCCAGCUAGAAUUGGUAAAUACGUAAACGAAAGGCCCACACGGUCUGAAAGGGGCACAGGGCGCUCCCAGCGAGCUUCCCGGGGAGCCUCGGCCCCGCGCGCCCCUCGGCGGGCGCCCCGGGCCAGACAGGCGCGGAGGCUCGGCGCUGCGGGCGCGUCCCGGCCCCACGGCGGCCGCCACCGGGGGGCGCCCCGAACCCCGAGCCGGCCCCGCCCCCACCCCCACCCCCACCCCGGCCGCCGCGACCGGGCCUCGGCGCCCCGAGCGUGUCGCUUCCGCCGCCGCCUCCCGGCGCGCUGGUCUGGGGGCGUCCGGGCCCGCCGCCCUGCCCUCGCUCCCCGGCGCGGCGCGGCGCGGCCCCCGCACCCCGGUCCCCGUGGCGGCCCCGCGGCUCGGGCCGGGGCGGCGGGCUUUGUUCCCCGAGACCCGACGGCGCGGGGGCCCGAGCGUCCCGAGGCGCGGCGGCGGCACUGCGGAGCCGGGGGCCAUGCGCCAGCGCGGCCGCCCCGCGCGCCCAGCCUCGUCGGGCCCGCCCGAGCCCCCGGCCGCUGGCGGCCCCCGCGCGCUCCCGCGCUGAGUGCCGGGGUCCGCCUCCUCCCGGCCCGCUCGCCGCCCCGCUCGCCGCAGUACGAGCCGCCUCCCUGCCCCCGCCCCCCGCGCCGCCGCCGCCGCCGCCGCCGCCGCCGCCGCCGCCGCAGGGAGGGAGGGAGGGAGGGAGGCCGGGGAGGGAGGCGGCGGGGCCGAGCCCAGAGCCCGUCCCGGCCGCCGGCGAGCGAGCUGGGGCCGCGGCGGGAGGCGCCAUCCGGGGUCGCCGGGCGGCCGCGGCGCCCUCGCCCUCCGAGCGUCUGGCAGCCGCCUCCCGCCGCCCCGGCCGCGUUCGGCCCGCGGCGCCCAGAGAGGCUCCCGCUCCGCCGGGCACGGGCUCAUUUUUCUUCCUCCUCGGGAGGGAGUCGCCACCUGGAUUGCCAAGUGCGAGGGGUCCGGGAGGCGGGGACCGGGGCACCGUGA